UACGGGAAGGGCAAGCGUUAUCCGGAAUCACUGGGCGUAAAGCGUCUGUAGGUGGUGAUGCAAGUCACUGGUGCAAAACUCUGGCUCAACCGGAGGAAAGCCAGUGAAACUGCAUGACUAGAGUGUGGGAGAGGUAGAAGGAAUUCCCUGAGUAGCGGUGAAAUGCGUAGAUACAGGGAAGAACACCGGAGGCGAAAGCGUUCUACUGGAACACAACUGACACUGAGAGACGACAGCUAGGGGAGCGAAUGGG
rnacentral:rRNA from 1 species